ensembl:snoRNA
UGGACCAUGAUACCUACUGGUGGUAGAUGAGUUGCAGCCACUGAAUAAUAUGUGUCUGGAGCUCUGAGGUCCCG